AACGCACAUUGCACCUUUUGGUAUUCCGAAAGGUAUGCUUGUUCGAGCGUCGUUUAAACAAUAUCAAUUUAAUUAUUGAAUGUAUUGAGUGCUUUUUUAAAAAGAAUUCUCCAUUCUGAGACACUCCGAAACGAUUGAGCGAUCUUGACUAGAUUUAAUUGACGCAUUAAUUUUUUUAUCGUCAGUAGAAGAAGUCAGUAGGUCUGCCAAAUUAAAAACCUUUGUAAAUUAAUUUUUAUUAAUUGAUUUUUCAAAAACCCCAAUAUUUUAUUAUCGACCUCGAAUCAAGUAGGAUUACCCGCUGAACUUAA
rnacentral:misc_RNA from 2 species